GAUGAACGCUGGCGGCGUGCCUAAUACAUGCAAGUCGAGCGAACGGACGAGAAGCUUGCUUCUCUGAUGUUAGCGGCGGACGGGUGAGUAACACGUGGAUAACCUACCUAUAAGACUGGGAUAACUUCGUGAAACCGUAGCUAAUACCGGAUAAUAUUUUGAACCGCAUGGUUCAAAAGUUAAAGACGGUCUUGCUGUCACUUAUAGAUGGAUCCGCGCUGCAUUAGCUAGUUGGUAAGGUAACGGCUUACCAAGGCAACGAUGCAUAGCCGACCUGAGAGGGUGAUCGGCCACACUGGAACUGAGACACGGUCCAGACUCCUACGGGAGGCAGAAGUAGGGAAUCGUCCGCAAUGGGCGAAAGCCUGAAGGAGCAACGCCGCGUGAGUGAUGAAGGUCUUCGGAUCGUAAAACUCUGUUAUUAGGGAAGAACAUAUGUGGAAGUAACUGUGCACAUCUUGACGGUACCUAAUCAGAAAGCAACGGCUAACUACGUG
rnacentral:rRNA from 1 species